CCUACGGGGAGCAGCAGUGGGGAAUAUUGGGCAAUGGGCGCAAGCCUGACCCAGCAACGCCGCGUGAAGGAAGAAGGCUCUCGGGUUGGAAACUUCUUUUAUCAGGGACGAAGCAAGUGACGGUACCUGAUGAAUAAGCCACGGCUAACUACGUGCCAGCAGCCGCGGUAAUACGUAGGUGGCAAGCGUUAUCCGGAUUUACUGGGUGUAAAGGGAGUGUAGGCGGGAGUGCAAGUCAGAUGUGAAAACUAUGGGCUCAACCCAUAGCCUGCAUUUGAAACUGUACUUCUUGAGUACCGGAGAGGUCAUCGGAAUUCCUUGUGUAGCGGUGAAAUGCGUAGAUAUAAGGAAGAACACCAGUGGCGAAGGCGGAUGACUGGACGGCAACUGACGGUGAGGCGCGAAAGCGUGGGGAGCAAACAGGAUUAGAUACCCUAGUAGUC
rnacentral:rRNA from 1 species